rnacentral:rRNA from 1 species
AACGAACGCUGGCGGCAGGCUUAACACAUGCAAGUCGAACGCUCCGCAAGGAGAGUGGCAGACGGGUGAGUAACGCGUGGGAACCUUCCUAUUGGUUCGGAAUAGCUCAGGGAAACUUGGGGUAAUACCGGAUAAGCCCUAUGGGGAAGGAUUAUCGCCAAUAGAUGGCCCGGCCGUCUGAUUAGUCUAGUUGGUGAGGUAAUGGCGUCACCAAGGCGACGAUCAGUAGCUGGUUUGAGAGAAUGACCAGCCACACUGGGAC